rnacentral:rRNA from 1 species
GCAGUGGGGAAUUUUGGACAAUGGGCGCAAGCCUGAUCCAGCAAUGCCGCGUGAGUGAAGAAGGCCUUCGGGUUGUAAAGCUCUUUUGUCAGGGAAGAAACGGUGAGGGCUAAUAUCCCUUGCUAAUGACGGUACCUGAAGAAUAAGCACCGGCUAACUACGUGCCAGCAGCCGCGGUAAUACGUAGGGUGCAAGCGUUAAUCGGAAUUACUGGGCGUAAAGCGUGCGCAGGCGGUUUUGUAAGUUUGUCGUGAAAGCCCCGGGCUCAACCUGGGAAUUGCGAUGAAGACUGCAAGGCUUGAAUCUGGCAGAGGGGGGUAGAAUUCCACGUGUAGCAGUGAAAUGCGUAGAGAUGUGGAGGAACACCGAUGGCGAAGGCAGCCCCCUGGGUCAAGAUUGACGCUCAUGCACGAAAGCGUGGGGAGCAAACAGGAUUAGA